UGAAGCCCCGGCUGCACUGUGGCACUUGCUGUGGGCAACCUAAGGCCUCAGAAGUCAUCACUCUCCCCCAUCUCUUCCACAGAGGGUCACAGAAGUCUCCACUGUGUCACCUCUUGCUUUUAAGGGAGGUAAGUUUGACUAACUAUAUAACCAUCUCUGAUUGGCCCAAACAAUCAGAGGCAAACCACCCAAUUUUCUAAAAGGAAACAGAGACAUAUUCUAGCAAUAAAGGGAUUUAUUCUAGCAAUUCUGGCCCUAAAAAGACAAGGGAAAACAGCAUUCAUUUUCACCCCAUACCAGAGCACCAGCAAUUUGAGUUUUAUAAUUUUCUUUUAUCUUUUCAGAAGAGAUACUAUUAGUGAAUGCAGAUAGAUACCAAAAUAGUUUAUAUUCAGGAAAAUAGUAAAUUAUAUAAUGAUAUGAACAGAAGUCAAACAAAUGUGAGAGUUAUAUAAGCAACAGAGUUCUGUCAUACUGCAGGAAACAGCACAGCCUCUUUGACAUGCUUUCGGGAAACAAUUGAAAAUCUUCACAUUAAAAAAAAAAAAACUUCCAUUUGAAUUGGGUGUCAACAUACUUUCUAUACAAACAGAGAUAUAAAACUUGUGGUAUAUAUGUGUAUUAAGAAUUGUAAUGCAAAAAAAAAAAGAAUAGCGUUACCUUAGAUUAGGAAGAGGGAAGUGAAAGGAGGGGAAGGCAGGGGAUGUGGGGAUAAGUAAGAUAGUAGAAUGAAACAGACAUUGUUACUGCAUGUAUGUGGGUGACUGUAUGACCAAUGUGAUUCCACGAUAUGUAUACUCAGAAAAAUGAGAAACUAUAUCCGAUCUAUGUAUGAUACAUCAAAGUAUAUAAGUGCAUUCUACUGUCAUGUGUAACUAAUUAAAAGAAAUUAAAAAAUAAAACUUAAAUAACUUCCUGUAUUAUAAUUGUUUGGUAUAAUUGGAAAAAGUGAUCUAAGAUCGGAAGCCUUGAACUUUAAUCCUGGCUUGCCACCUGUGAGCUGUCUAGCCACAGACAAAUCACAUUUCUUCCUUAGUUCACACUCACAUUCUAGCUAUACAGAGGAACAACAUUGCCGGAGCUCUAUCUUGAGCCUCUCAAGUCUUUUUUACCAUUUCUGUGUGUCACCCAGCCUGAGAGGUCGUAUCUGUAGCCUUCCUCAGAGGAUUGUCCUGAGCUAGCCAAGCUGUUUGGUCUGCUCACCCAUUGCCCAGAGCCCUGAGAUAAUGGCUGAUUUGAGCAACCAGUGAGGCAAGCACAGAGCCCAAGCCCAUUCCUCCAGACUUCAGGAACCACAUGGGAGACAUCUCACCAAAGACUUCACUUCUUCUUCUCCUGCUUCUUUCAUGCCCCGGAGUGUUUCACAAAUGCUUAAGAAAAAGUCACCCCCUCUUCUCAGGCCUGGCUUUCUAGAUGUACACAACCUGUCAGCCACUUGCCAGGACAUGACUGGAGGUGACCUCAUGGGGCACACUGCUCCCCAGCCAUCCCCAACCAAAACAGGCAUGUCCCCUGAAGCCCUCUUUGCACCACCUGAAUCAAUGCGAGCUUUUGUUAGAAACAUGGAUAUGUUUCCCUCUAACCGGGUUGCACUUUGCUGUCUGUAUCCUGAAGCUGGGUUGCUAGUGCCCUGCGUUUCAUAACGUCACUCAGGCAAUCCAGCCAUCCUCGUUAUUGGGGCACUAUCAGGGGUCAAAGCCAGUGGUUGAUUUGAGGCAGGUGAAGGAAUCACAGCUGGACUUGGUGGUACACCAGUAAUCCAAGCAAAGUGGGAGAGUGAGGCAGGAUGGCUAAUUCAAGGCCAGCCUGGGCAGCUUAUCAGGGCCUUUUCUUCAAAUAAAAAAUAUAAAAAAUGAAGAAGGAGGAAGAGGAAGAGGGAGAAGAGGAGGAGAAGAAGAGGAGGAGGAGGGAGAGGAAGGGGCUGGGGGAUUUUGCUCAGUGGUAGAACACCCCUGGAUUCAAUCCCCAGUAUCACAUACAUACAUACAUACAUACAUAAGCAUAAAUGAAAGGAAAGAAACAUCAUCCCAGCUUCUUCAUCUCCUCAUCUCUGCCCCCAGCCUGCCAGGUUUUACCAGUAGAUUCCUAGAGAGCUGCUGGCAUCCCAUUCAACCUAAAUUCUCAUCGCUGACAUUUGGAAUCAUCUACUAGCUAUAGAUAGAUCAGAACCCUCAAUCUAGCCCUUCAAAGUCUCUCUAAAGCUUUCUCAUCAUCAAUUCAAAAAGUUUAAUAAAAAUAUUUCACCUAAAACAAAUGAUUCUCAUAAUUAUAUUAUUUAUAAAAUGAUUACCUUUUUUUUUUUCUUUUUUUAAAGAGCCUUCUAAAGGAGCUGGGGCUGCAGCUUGCUUCGCAUGUAUGAGGCACCAGGUUCGAUCCUCAGCACCACAUAAAAAUAAAUAAAGACACUGUGUGUUCAUCUACAAAUAAAUAAAUUUUUAGAAAGAUUUCUAAAAAGAGAAAAAAAUCUGCUAAUAAAAAGUGAUGAGCACUUAAUUUGACUUCAGAUUUUUUACCUAAAGUCGCCAUCUAGAUGUCUAUUUCCCUUUUGAUUGCCUUCCUAGAGAAUCUUUGAAGCAAUAAUAGUGGUUAAUUUUUAUAGUGUUUAUUUGAUAAUCACCAGAAAAUGUGCUUUCCUUUCUCAAGAAGAAAUUAGACACUGACUACUCUAGUAGUCAGUCCACUCAUGCCCAUAGUUGUAUUGUCUGGGGAUUCCUCAUGCAAUCUUGGGCCAGGCAGAAAACAUCCAGGUCAGUGAAAUGAAUUCUGGAGGAGGAGCAGCAUCAUGAAAACACUGACACACACAGAGAAGUGCCUUCCUAUUCCCACGCCUGAGCCUCCUUUGGAACAGGCUGCCCCAGGUCGUGGGGACUUGGGUCUCUGAGCACUACUCCAACACAUACAAUUAGCUUCCUUCUUGAAAUCAAUAACAUCUCAUCAGCUCUUUCCUCCCACCCUUCGUUUUGUCUUCCUACCUAUAAAAUAAUUGUACACAUCUGUCAAAGUUUAUUAACUAAGCAGUGGAAUAGAAAAUAUAAUUUUUACUUCUAGCAUUCCCACUGACUCCUGAGUGAAUAGAUGAGACACUUCAUCUGUGGGAACCAUCACGUUUGAUGCUUCAUCCUGCCAAAGGAAUCUAGUUUUAGGUAUCCUGAUUGAAGUUUUCCAAGAGAGACAUGGUUUCUCUUUUUAUCAAGUUUAUAAUCCCCAAAAGCAUCAUGAAGGCAGGCAGAAGGAGCAUUGUUAAAACACAUGGAACACGCUUUGAAAAACUCUUUCAUAAAAUUUCCUGGUGGUAAUUACUUUACAGGUAAAGGGGGAAAAAAUGGCAAGAGAAAGAUUAAAUCAAAAUUUAAUCCAAGCAAUAUAGCCAAAUAACUUAGAAACUGGUUCUCAAAACUGUUGAGAGGUUUUCAAUCCCAGAAGAACAAUUUUCCAUGUGAACAUUGAGGUGCGUUUUUUUUUUUAAAUAUCUAAUUUAAUUUAAAAAAUAAAUUUUUUGUUUGUCUAAAAUAUCUGAAAAGAUUAACAGACCUCUGUGAAACUCCUUUUUGAAGUCUAUAUCAAAACUCUCAAUUUCAUAGUUUUCUCAAAACACUUUAAGAAAUAAAGAAAUAUUUACCAAGACUACAUGACUUCUCUCCUUUUUCCUUAUUUCACACUUUCAGUCCCCCUUAUAACUCUCUAGUCCUCUGGCUUUCACCUUUUAAUCUUCUGUGAGUUCAUUCCAAAUAUUAAACCACCCAUAUUCUUCCGCACAUAACAGGAAUAGAAAUUAAAAAAAAAAAAACAGAAAUUAAAAAAAAAAAAAAACUGGAGCCACACAAAACUUUAUAUUUCUCCUCUCCCUUUUGAUGUGGAGUGCUGAGUCUAAUGGCAUCUGCAAUCCACAGCUAAUGCCUUGUCUUCUCCCUGACUUAUUUUGGAGACCACAUUGAUGUGGAAUAAUCAGGGCAUUGCUCUGAAUGAAAAAGUGUUUGACUUUGGCUUUUAGAUGUUCCUAAUUCCUUGGCCACUCCUCCAGACACAGGGGUCUCAUCUCAGUUGUUCUAAGUUUUGUUCCUGUAUUCCUGCAUUAGAGUAACACUGUCUGUUGUUACAAAACAAAGAACACAAAGAGAACAAUUCAGUGGCUUAGCCUAUUAAAAGCUCAUUUCUUGUUUUGAACAGAUGUUCUAUUCACAACUGUCCAAUUCAGAAGCUCCCGACCUCUAGGAGUGAGUCAGUGCUGCUCUUUGUGGACAUUCUGGACCCAGCAUAUAGCAGAGAAACACAGAGGGAAGACAGGGCACAUCUGUAUCUGAGCUCCUAGGUCUGGGAGUGCCUCGCAUGAUCCCAUGCAGAGAACUAGCCACAGGGCCACUCUUGGAAGCAAAGAGGUGGAGGUGAGUCUAGAAGACAUCAUCUCUGGCUUGGUAGCUGCUUUUGGCAGCAAGCCCACACUGCAGAAGAUCUUCCUGGUUUUUGGAGGACUACCAGCAGUCUUUCAAUUUGCCCAUUUGUGAUAAGCAUAGAGUUUCUUACCCUGCCCUGAUUGGGAAUCACUGAUAUGCACUAAGUGUGUAUGUAUUAGCUAUUUGCUGAUGUGAAAUUUUUUUUUUCCAGAUGUAAUGACAAUGCUUUGUGUCUCACAUUUUCUUUGGAUCAGGAAUACUGGCCUGGCCCAAUGGAUGUCUAUGGUUCAAGGUCUUUCAGUGGUACCAGCAGGAGCUGCUUUGAGCAUCCGCUUCCAAGUUUACUCUCCUGGUUAUCUGUAGGCCUUUCUUUCUUACUGGCAGUUGGCAGGUGGUAGAUACAGGCUAUGUGGACCUCUCCAAUAGGCAGUUCACGACUUGUCAGCUGGCUUUCAUUGCAACAAGUCAGUGGGAGAGGAAGAGAGGAGGAAGAGCUCAAGAUAGAGAGGUGAGCCUUCUCUAGUCUCAUCUUGGUGGUUUUACUGUUGGUCAUGCAUUUCAUUCAUUUGGAAAACACUGACAGUCCACCCUAUGCUAAAAAGAGAAUAAAUGGACAAGGGUGAGUAGCAAGAAGUGAAGGUCUUCAGGGGCCAUCUCCAAGACUGACUGUCUACACCCAUGUGAACAGAGGAGAAAAGGUACAGCCAGGCUAUGUAUUUGUAGUCUAUAGCCCUUAAAAAUGCACAAAUAAGCCACACACGGUGGCACAUAGCUGUAAUCUCAGCAGUCAGGAGGCUGAGGCAGGAAGAUGCCCUGAGCCCAGGAGUUUGAGGUCAAUCUGGGCAACAUAGCAAGACCCUGUCUAAAAAAUAUAUAUUUUUAAAUAUUCAAGCAAAUAUCUCUGUGAUUGGUUUUGGUAACAGGACUAUAAGAAAGUGACUAUAUGUCUAACUUCUGUUCCAAUACAGAGCAAGAAAGAGAGAACACCUGGGAGGAAGUAGUGGGUGACCAGGAACUUGUUACUGAGAGUGGUUUCCUUUUUGCUCUCUG
rnacentral:lncRNA from 1 species